ACAAAGUUUGAGUGCUUGUCUGAAUGUUUUCCCAUCAGUAAGACUCGUCUGAUCCUUACAUUGAGCAAAAAUGGCACUCUGGAUAAACCUCAUAUUGUUAUUAGUAGCCCUCAGAGGUGUCCAGUCAGAGGUCCAGCUGGUGGAGUCUGGAGGGGAUGUGAGAAGACCUGGUGAUUCCCUCCGUCUCUCCUGCCAAGGCUCCGGAUUCACCUUCAGCAGCUACUGGAUGUCCUGGGUGAGGCAGUAUCCGGGGAAAGGACUGGAAUGGGUUGCACAGAUAAGUCACACUGGAAGUACUAUUCGCUACUCUGACAAAGUGAAAGGACGCUUCUCCAUCUCCAGGGACAAUGCCAAAAGCCAGCUGUAUCUGCAAAUGAACAACCUCAAGGUGGAGGACACAGGACGCUAUUACUGUGCGAGAGACACAGGAGACUAA